AGACAGCAGUCGCCGCGGGAAUACGAAGGGUGCAAGCGUUAAUCGGAUUUACUGGGCGUAAAGGGCGCGUAGGUGGUUAUUUAAGUGAGAUGUGAAAGCCCCGGGCUUAACCUGGGAACUGCAUCUUAUACUGGGUAACUGGAGUGCAGUAGAGGGUAGUGGAAUUUCCGGUGUAGCGGUGAAAUGCGUAGAUAUCGGAAGGAACACCAGUGGCGAAGGCGGCUACCUGGACUGAGACUGACACUGAGGCGCGAGAGCGUGGGGAGCAAACAGGAUUAGAUACCCGUGUAGUCCCUGUCUCUUAUAC
rnacentral:rRNA from 1 species